UUAACGGAAAUUUGUAUGGAGUUGGAAUGUUUGCCUACGUUUCCCGCUAGGGGCGCUGUUCCAAUUGCAUACAAAAUUGAGUUA
rnacentral:pre_miRNA from 1 species